rnacentral:rRNA from 1 species
UUGAUCCUGGCUCAGAAUCAACGCUGGCGGCGUGCCUAACACAUGCAAGUCGAACGAGAAAGUGGAGCAAUCCAUGAGUAAAGUGGCGACCGGGUGAGUUACACGUGACCAAUCUACCCUUGAGUGGGGGAUAACCUCGGGAAACCGGGUCUAAUACCGCAUAACAUCUUCGGAUCGGAAGAACUGAAGAUCAAAGGAGUAAUUCGCUUAAGGAGGAGGUCGCGGCUGAUUAGCUAGUUGGCGGGGUAAUGGCCCACCAAGGCUUAGAUCGGUAGCCGGCCUGAGAGGGCGCACGGCCAUACUGGAACUGAAACACGGUCCAGACUCCUACGGGAGGCAGCAGUGGGGAUUUUUGCGCAAUGGGGGAAACCCUGACGCAGCAACGCCGCGUGGAGGAUGUAGUCCCUUGGGACGUAAACUCCUUUCGACCCGGACGAUAAUGACGGUACUGGUGGAAGAAGCCCCGGCUAACUUCGUGCCAGCAGCCGCGGUAAUAAGGU